rnacentral:rRNA from 1 species
UGAGAAGUAUGGUAUAUACUAAGUGAAUACAUAGCUUAGUGUAAGGGACACGCGGUGAACUGAAACAUCUCAGUAGCUGCAGGAAGAGAAAACAAAUGUGAUUCCCAUAGUAGCGGCGAGCGAAAUGGGAAGAGGCCAAACGAUCAUGCUUGCAUGAUCGGGUUGUAGGACUCAAGAAUGGACGAUUGUUGUUAGUUGAACACGUUGGAGAGCGUGGCCAAAGAAGGUGACAGCCCUGUAGGCGAAAACAACAUGAACCAAUGAGGAUCCUGAGUACGGCGGAACACGAGAAAUUCCGUCGGAAUCAGCCGGGACCAUCCGGCAAGCCUAAAUACUACCUAGUGACCGAUAGUGAACCAGUACCGUGAGGGAAAGGUGAAAAGAACCCCGGAAGGGGAGUGAAAAGCACUUGAAACCGUAUGCUUACAAGUAGUCAGAGCCCGUUAAUGGGUGAUGGCGUACCUUUUGUAGAAUGGACCGGCGAGUGACGAUUUCAUGCAAGGUUAAUCUGAAGAAGAGGAGCCGCAGCGAAAGCGAGUCUGAAUAGGGCGUGCAGUAUGA